rnacentral:lncRNA from 1 species
GGGGGAAGUAUAGGCUCAAAGGGGCUAACAAAGAGAUCAUAGGCUCAUCUGGCUAGAAAGGCUCAACAACAAAACUGCCUUUAUCACUUCCAAACAUGCAUAUCAAUCAAGAAUCAUAAAAAAGAGUCAAGCCAAGGCAUAUGCGCAAGCAAUCAAGAGACACAUCACACACAAGAAAGAUCAUCAAAUGGCUCAAAACUCGCACAAGGUAAUCCUAUCACAAUCAAUUCAACCUCUCAAACAUCAUAAUCAUCUUUCCAGGCAAAGAAAAGCAAGGAUUUCAAGCAAAUCAGAGUAUCAAUGAAGUGAAGGAAGAAUUGGCAACCUAAACAAAGUCCAGAAAUCAAGAGAAACAUGCAAAAUUGUACACAAGACACAACAAAAACUACCUAGAAAACAAAAAUUUAACGCAGAAAACAUAAACUAAUAAAAGAAAAAUCAGAAUCUCCCCCAAUAGACCACACUUAAACUACACAGUGUCCUCAAUGUGUCACAAGCAUCAGAUCAGGAAUUAGAACAGUCAACAAAUCAAUGACAAGUGCAAUAAAAGCGGGAAAGGGAGGAGAAGGGAAAAGAAGACUCCCCUGAUCAUGGUGGCAGUUGCCAAUUUUGGACUUUCAGGAAGAUCUCUUCCACCACCGAAUCCAACAAAGAAGUCUUGAGCAGGAAUUGCUUCAGUCUCCAGAUUUGAUAAGGCAGGGAGAUAUCGUCCACAGCUGGAUCUAAGAAGCAAUGAUAGUUGAUUAGUGGGUUCGGUUGGUUCCCAUUGAUGUUAAAGCUCUUGUGUAUGCUUGCACCUUUGUUUUCCACUGUGGGUGCUUGUUGAUCAAAUUCAUGUGUACCUCCUGCAACAUGGUUAGUGCACUGUGGCUCCACAGAAAUAACAUGUAGGGGUAUAACACCCAAUCCCAGUGUAACAUGAUGAACAUCAGAUAAACUCUCAGAACAUGAAUCAAUUUCACAUGUAGAAACAAUAUCAACAACAGGCUCAGAUUCAUGUUCAGUGCAUGGAGAAGAAGUGUUCAGACAAGAUGGCAAAAGUUCUUUCUCAUCAUGCAAAGAG